rnacentral:rRNA from 1 species
GACGAACGCUGGCGGCGCGCUUAACACAUGCAAGUCGAACGGAAAGGCCUGCUUUCCCUUGUGGAUUGCGGGUACUCGAGUGGCGAACGGGUGAGUAACACGUGAGUGAUCUGCCCCCAACUUGGGUAUAAGCCUGGGAAACUGGGUCUAAUUCCCGAUAGGACUGCAGGGUGGUGCCUGUGGUGGAAAACGAUUUUCUAGUGGUUGGGGAUGAGCUCGCGGCCUAUCAGCUUGUUGGUGGGGUAAUGGCCUACCAAGGCGGCGACGGGUAGCCGGCCUGGGAGGGUGGACGGCCACAUUGGGACUGGGAUACGGCCCAGACUCCUACGGGAGGCAGCAGUGGGGAAUAUUGCACAAUGGGCGGAAGCCUGAUGCAGCGACGCCGGGUGGGGGAUGACGGCCUUCGGGUUGUAAACUCCUUUCGACCGCGAGGAAGCCACCUGGUUGGAAGGGUGGUGACGGUAGUGGUAGAAGAAGCACCGGCUAACUACGUG